UCCGGGGGGGGCAAGCGUUGUUCGGAAUUACUGGGCGUAAAGGGUUCGUAGGUGGCUUGUUAAGUCAGACGUGAAAUCCCUCGGCUCAACCGGGGAACUGCGUCUGAGACUGAUGAGCUCGAGUGCAGGAGAGGAACGCGGAAUUCCAGGUGUAGCGGUGAAAUGCGUAGAUAUCUGGAGGAACACCGGUGGCGAAGGCGGCGUCCUGGACUGCAACUGACACUGAGGAACGAAAGCCAGGGGAGCAAACGGG
rnacentral:rRNA from 1 species